AGAGUUUGAUUAUGGCUCAGGACGAACGCUGGCGGCACGCCGAAUGCAUGCAAGUCGGACGAGGUCUCACUUUCGAGUGGGUUCCCUAGUGGCAGACGGCUGAGUAACGCGUGGGUAACCUGCCCUUGAGUCUGGGAUAACUGCGAGAAAUUGCAGCUAAUACCGGAUACACUCUGUUGCUCUUUGUAGCAGAGGAAAGAUUUAUCGCUCUAGGAUGGGCCUGCGUCCUAUCAGGUAGUUGGUGUGGUAACGGCGCACCAAGCCGAAAACGGGUAGCUGGUGUGAGAGCAUGACCAGCCAGAGGGGGACUGAGACACGGCCCCCACUCCUCCGGGAGGCAGCAGCAGGGAAUCGUGCACAAUGGGCGAAAGCCUGAUGCCGCGAUGCCGCGUGAGGGAUGACGGCUUUAGAGUUGUAAACCUCUUUUUUCAGGGAAGAGCAAGGACGUUACCUGAGGAACAAGCCACGGCUUACUACGUGCCAGCAGCAGCGGUAAUACGUAGGUGGCGAGCGUUGUCCGGAAUUACUGGGCGUAAAGGGUCACGGUAGGCUGUCGUAUAAGUCUCCUGUGAAAUCUCCACGCUUAACGUGGAAUGGUCGGGAGAAACUGUACGACUAGAGACUGUCAGAGGCAGGUGGAAUUCCCGGAGUAGUGGUGAAAUGCGUAGAUAUCGGGAGGAACACCAGUGGCGAAAGCGGCCUGCUGGGGCAGUUCUGACGCUGAUGGACUAAAGCGUGGGGAGCGAACCGGAUUAGAUACCCGGGUAGUCCACGCCCUAAACGAUGAAUGCUAGGUCUUCGAGGUGUAGAUGCCUUGGGGGCCGAAGGUAACCCGUUAAGCAUUCCGCCUGGGGACUACGGCCGCAAGGCUAAAACUCAAAGGAAUUGACGGGGUCCCCGCACAAGCAGCGGAGCGUGUGGUUUAAUUCGAUGGUAAGCGAAGAACCUUACCUGGGUUUGACAUGUUUGGUGGUACCG
rnacentral:rRNA from 1 species